rnacentral:rRNA from 1 species
ACAGGUGCUGCAUGGCUGUCGUCAGCUCGUGUCGUGAGAUGUUGGUUAAGUCCCGCAACGAGCGCAACCCCUAUUGUUAGUUGCCAUCAUUCAGUUGGGCACUCUAGCGAGACUGCCGGUAAUAAACCGGAGGAAGGUGGGGAUGACGUCAAAUCAUCAUGCCCCUUAUGACCUGGGCUACACACGUGCUACAAUGGUUGGUACAACGAGUUGCGAGUCGGUGACGGCGAGCUAAUCUCUUAAAGCCAAUCUCAGUUCGGAUUGUAGGCUGCAACUCGCCUACAUGAAGUCGGAAUCGCUAGUAAUCGCGGAUCAGCACGCCGCGGUGAAUACGUUCCCGGGCCUU